GCAAAUAACAGCCUGGAGGCGACACUCGCGGAGGGAACGAGCUCACCUUUGGCUUUGAAGGCACGUGGGUGAGUUGUGAAUGGACACCGGAGUCGCCUUCCCUCUCCAAGACUGAAGAUUGUUUAUUCUUCCUUUCCCCUCCACCCCCUUCCAUGGGAAGAUAAAUAUUCAAUUUACAUAAGAUGACAUUUAUGUGACAAUUAAGAAGAUUCCCCGAUGGAAUGUUGUGAACACAUUUGCUUAUAGGAGAAAUAAAUCUAAUAAUAAACAAACUCAUAAUAACAGCACAAAUCCUCCGACAGGGCGGAUUGUCUACCCAACAAAGAGGGAGAUGAUGAAUGCUGAAAUAAGCAGUUUUUGCAACAAGAAAGAAAUAUGAGCUCAAAGGGAGUCACUGCAACAUUUCUUCUUCCUUGGCCUUCAUUCACAAAGUCUGAGGAGAAUUGUCUGGCAAGAGGAUGGUCUGGGUAUUACCUUCCAGUUAGACCUGGCUGUGGCUCUCAGUGGUCAAUUGGUGGUAUUUUUCUCUAGCCAAGCUCAGAGUCUGGAAACAGGUGCUGCAGACUUGGAGUGUGUAACAAAAUAGUUAAAUACUUAGGUUCUAAUCCUGGCUUUGCAUUUCAGAAGCUGUGUGAUGUGGGCAAGUGAAUUCAUCUCCCUGGAUCGCUUUUUCCUUUUGGGUAGAAUGGGGUGGUUGGAGGGUUCUUGAGGCCAUGUGUGCACAUACACAUAUAUGUAUGUACGUACAUAUACAGGUGGUAUGUGUAAAGCAGCAACUGGCACAGGGUGCAUAGUGCUCAUUAGCACCUUGCCUGGUACCUAAGUGGGUUUUUUUUAUUUUGGAAGGGUGAAAUUGUUCUCUGAAGCUUGAUGGUCAAGGUCCAGAUGUCCAUUCCGGGGUGGGAGUGAGGGUACCAGUUUACAGUGGCACAGUCUAAAGAGAUGACCUCCAGAGAUGGAUGAGGGAAGUGUGACCAUUUAAAGUGCACCUGCAGUGUACUGGUCACUUUGUGAGCCAUUCUAUCUCAUCCUCCCCCAAACCCCUUCCUCCCUUUUCAGAAAGGUUUAGUAACUUACCACAGCCACACAGCUAGUAAGUGCUGGCAGAAUUGGCUCCUAGGUCUAGCUGACCUUGAGACCUAUGUAGUUUCUAUUUUACCACACUGCCAGAAAUAAAAAGUAUUACUAUUAUUGGUUUGAUUGGGGAUGGGGGGAUCUGAUUGCUGUCUUGGCAAGAAAGAAUUUUAUGAGCAGCACUUUGCUUCUGAGGUGGUUCCCUGACUUGGGGUGAGACCCAGGCCUUCUAAUGAGCCCUUGAAAAUACCUCUUGCUUAGGACUGGAAGCCCUAUCAAAAUCCUUGGAUUCCCACAGUUCUCUGCUGCUGUUUAAGGUUAACCUUGGAAGCUUUAACAGAAUGAUAACGAUAAAGCUAAUUGUAACUCCUUAAUCUUUAUUAAAAGUCUCACAAAUCAUUCAUUAACUUUUUUUUUUUUCCUUUUUCCACAAUCUCUGCUUUGGACGUAAUCAUUCAUUAACUUUUUACAGGAAAGAAAUGAGAAGAAAGAGAGUUCUUGGAGAUGUAAUCCUUCAUUGUUUUUCAACAAGCCUCCCGUAUGCCAGAGACCAUUCUUGGUGUUGGGGACACAGCACACACACACACACACACACAAAUAAGUAAAUAAAUAAAAUAAAUGAGGAGCAGGGCAGGGAGAGCAUCAGGAAAAAUAGCUAAUGCAUGCUGGGCUUAAUACCUACGUGAUGGGAUGAUCUGUGCAACAAACCGCCAUGGCACAUGUUUACCUGUGUAACAAAACUGCACAUCCUGCACAUGUAUCCCAGAACUUAAAAAAAAAAAAAAGGUAAAAAUGUUAGCUGCUAGAGUGAGCAGGUUAUUAAAAUUGGACAUGAUUUUAUUCUAAACUCUAAAAUAUAAAAAUAACUAUAUGUUUGAAAGUGAUUAAGUGCUGUGGAGAAACUCUUAAGAAGGAAAGGGCGAUACACAGUGUGGGAGUGCAAUUUUAAAUAAAAUAGGGAAGUUCUCACCGAGAAGACAGUCUUUGAGAAGAGCAGGUAAAGGAGUGAACUGUAUGUGGGAGUAUGUGUGUAUGUACAUGGGGGAAGAGAAGCCAGCCGUUCUUAACCUGGAGACCAUAGACUCUCCUCUCCAUGGGUCUGUGGAUAGAAUUCAGAGGAUCUUGACCUUAGGUGAGAAAAAAAUUACAACUUUAUUUUCACUAAUUAAAAUGUAGCGUGUCCUUCAAUUAUGAAUACAGAUAACAAAUCAGUGAUAUUAGCAGCACCUGUGACAUUACUGCUGGUAGAAAUCACAGAUAUUUUCAUAUCACUUUAGAGUUGUUGCAAAUAUCUUAAAAUAUCGUUACACUUUAUGAGUAAUUUAUUGAAAAAGUAUCAUUUUACUCAUCACUACUUCAAAAUCAUGC
rnacentral:lncRNA from 10 species